CUAUUGCUGGUAAAAACAAUAGGGCUGUCAAGCCAGAGGCUAUGGUGCACACUGGAGGGUCAAUAAGCUUUGGACAACACUUGAAAAAGAUGGAGGCGGAGCGUAAUGGGUCUGUUUCUUAUGGUGAACUAUACAACAAAGUUCA